GUGGGGAAUCUUAGACAAUGGGGGCAACCCUGAUCUAGCCAUGCCGCGUGAGUGAUGAAGGCCUUAGGGUCGUAAAGCUCUUUCGCCGGGGAAGAUAAUGACUGUACCCGGUAAAGAAACCCCGGCUAACUCCGUGCCAGCAGCCGCGGUAAUACGGAGGGGGUUAGCGUUGUUCGGAAUUACUGGGCGUAAAGCGCGCGUAGGCGGAUCGGAUAGUUGGGGGUAGAAUCGCGGGGCUCAACCCCGGAAUUGCCUUCAAAACUCCCGGUCUUGAGGUCGAGAAAGGUGAGUGGAAUUCCGAGUGUAGAGGUGAAAUUCGUAGAUAUUCGGAGGAACACCAGUGGCGAAGGCGGCUCACUGGCUCGAUACUGACGCUGAGGUGCGAAAGCGUGGGGAGCAAACAGGAUUAGAAACCCCUGUAGUCC
rnacentral:rRNA from 1 species